GACGAACGCGGCGGCGUGCUUAACACAUGCAAGUCGAACGAAGAGCGAUGGAAGCUUGCUUCUAUCAAUCUUAGUGGCGAACGGGUGAGUAACGCGUAAUCAACCUGCCCUUCAGAGGGGGACAACAGUUGGAAACGACUGCUAAUACCGCAUACGAUCUAAUCUCGGCAUCGAGGAUAGAUGAAAGGUGGCCUCUACAUGUAAGCUAUCACUGAAGGAGGGGAUUGCGUCUGAUUAGCUAGUUGGAGGGGUAACGGCCCACCAAGGCGAUGAUCAGUAGCCGGUCUGAGAGGAUGAACGGCCACAUUGGGACUGAGACACGGCCCAGACUCCUACGGGAGGCAGCAGUGGGGAAUCUUCCGCAAUGGACGAAAGUCUGACGGAGCAACGCCGCGUGAGUGAUGACGGCCUUCGGGUUGUAAAGCUCUGUUAAUCGGGACGAAAGGCCUUCUUGCGAAUAGUAGAAGGA
rnacentral:rRNA from 1 species